UUUAACCCCUAUAUGUUUGCUGUAGGCUGGUAGCCAUCAUAAUCUGCUGCUAACUUCAAGCGGUAAUGUUUACAAACAGUGAAUAUGAGAUAGGCCAGACACAAAGACAGCUGCAUGAUAUUCUCAGGAACCACAGUGCACUUCAAAGACAUUCACGAAUGGCACCACAUCCCUGAGUGAUCAGAGACACACCCAGCUUUGGACAUUACUGCAUAUGACCCCAUAUAAUCUUUGGUACUUUUAAGAUACACAAGUCGUUAGUAAAUGUUUAAAACGUAAGUCAAAAUCAGACUGGAGUCGGACUUCUAGAGAACUGACUCUAAAAGAGAGACUAUACAUCUUGUUUUAAAUGCAGCAAGAGUGUAAAGCUGGCAAUGUUGAAGGCAUGGGUUGGUUUCUCAGAAAACACAUAUUGAUUAAAUGUUUACCUAAAUACUGCUUUAGAAAAAAAAAAAAAAAACCAUACUGGUAAGCUACAGUUCCUUCACUAAUAUGAUUAUCCCGUGAAUGCAAUCACAUUUGUUGUUAGAUGCAGGCAAAUACCACUCUCAUUCCAUGGUCAGAUUUGACCUUUUAAUCAUCAUUAUCAUUUUUCUAAGAAAAAAAAAGCACUUCAAUGUAAUAACUUUGUAAAGUAAUAAUACCACUUAAUCAUGCUUUUCUUUAGACCUUAUUUAUAUUUAAAUUAUUACACCAUUAAAAAAAAAACACAUUUUAUAUUACUUUCACUAUAAUACAGCAGCAGUAAUAUACUUUUUAUAUUACUUUCAACUGGAUCAGUACCCUAUUAAUUAACCAUGAAGUCUGACAGUCAGACCAGUCUCUCUCUCUCUCUCUCUCUCUGUGUCUGUGUGUGUGUGUGUGUGUGUGUGUGUGUGUGUGUGUGUAAAGCAUUAACAGGAGAGAGCGCAGGUGCUGUGUGCUGAGUAAUGACCUCUUACUGUCUCUAUUGUUCCUUUAUAUCAGCCAUUAAGUCUCAUGCUCCUCAUACUCUCCACCUGCAGUCUGGUGCACACGAACUCAUGAGAGCAUGCAUCAACUCUUUUUGUUCUUUGUGUCUCAACCUCUUUCGUCUCAAUCAGCAAGAAUGCUACCAAAUGGAAUGCCAGCCCAAAGAAACUGUUUGAUUGCUAUGAACGACUGCAUAACAACAGAUCGUUGUUUGGAUGUCCACAGGUUGUGUCGUCGUGAUUCGUUCCAGUUCUGUUCCUGAGUCUAGUUCCUGUUCGGUGUCCUGUGAUGUUCGUCUCGUCUUGUCUGGAAAUCCACCGUCACCUGUCUUCACCAGCACGCUGACCGCCUAGUCCCUGCACCACCAGCCCACCCGAGCUCCAUUACUACGUUGUGUUUGUUUCUCUAAAUAAAGAACCCUUGCAUCAUUGCUUCCGCCUCUCG
ensembl:lncRNA